CCUACGGGAGGCAGCAGUGAGGAAUAUUGGGCAAUGGGCGAAAGCCUGACCCAGCAACGCCGCGUGAGGGAUGAAGGCCUUCGGGUUGUAAACCUCUUUUCUGGGAGAAGAGACAAGGACGGUAUCCCAGGAAUAAGUCUCGGCUAACUACGUGCCAGCAGCCGCGGUAAUACGUAGGAGGCUAGCGUUAUCCGGAUUCACUGGGCGUAAAGCGCACGCAGGCGGUCAUGUAAGUCGGACGUGAAAGCUCCUGGCUCAACUGGGAGAGGUCGUUCGAUACUGCAUGGCUUGAGGUUGGGAGAGGGAAGCGGAAUUCCCGGUGUAGUGGUGGAAUGCGUAGAUAUCGGGAGGAACACCAGUGGCGAAAGCGGCUUCCUGGCCCAUACCUGACGCUCAGGUGCGAAAGCGUGGGGAGCGAACGGGAUUAGAUACCCCGGUAGUCCACGCUGUAAACGAUGCGAACUAGGUGUUGGUAGUAUUAAUCCUAUCAGUGCCGUAGCUAACGCGAUAAGUUCGCCGCCUGGGGACUACGGCCGCAAGGCUAAAACUUAAAGGAAUUGACGG
rnacentral:rRNA from 1 species